GCAUUCAGUGCUGCACAGUGCACAUCUAAGACAGCACAUGGCAAUAGCUUGGCAUGUCACAUGACACCGGCACAGUCUGGCACAGUUUUAAAAAAAAAAUAUAUAAACAGAGUACUUUUGACUGUAACAGUAUUAGGACUGAAUGUGUGUGUUCCCCAUGUCACAUGGUAUGAACCAUAAAAAAAAAUUAAAAUUUUUUUUUAUUUUUUUUUAGGACUCUUGGGCCCCUCAACAGAAACUGGGCCCUGGGCAGCUGCCCCUUUUGCCCUGUGUUAAAGACGGCCCUGCGUGUAUAUUGCACUUUGUGAUAAGUGCUUGAAGCUUAUUAUUCAUUCCUGUGAAGAGCUGCCCUCUGCUGGGAUCACCGGAAUCAUCAUUAGCCUUUUGUGGCGCCUCUUUGAUUCUUACUAUCACUGUGUUUUCAGUGUGAACUGAGCAUCUCUUUUCUAUAUACUUUAUUCUAACACUCCUCGCUCAUUAAAAAUACUCCUUAUUUUUACUAUGAAGUUCUAAGCAUACUGUGUGAAAUGGUAUGAUUAUGAUACGUCAUUUGUUUAACCCCAUAUUCUGUAACCCUUGUCUAUAAAAGUCUGUGAUGCCUUAUAAUAAACAGAACAGUGAUUGGACUUUA